UACGUAGGGUGCAAGCGUUAUCCGGAAUUAUUGGCGUAAAGAGCUCGUAGGCGGUUUGUCGCGUCUGCCGUGAAAGUCCGGGGCUCAACUCCGGAUCUGCGGUGGGUACGGGCAGACUAGAGUGAUGUAGGGGAGACUGGAAUUCCUGGUGUAGCGGUGAAAUGCGCAGAUAUCAGGAGGAACACCGAUGGCGAAGGCAGGUCUCUGGGCAUUAACUGACGCUGAGGAGCGAAAGCAUGGGGAGCGAACAGG
rnacentral:rRNA from 1 species